UUGUAUGUGUGCCGCAGCCGCGGUAAUACGUAGGUGGCAAGCGUUGUCCGGAAUUACUGGGUGUAAAGGGAGCGCAGGCGGGGAGCCAAGUCAGCUGUGAAAACUACGGGCUUAACCUGUAGACUGCAGUUGAAACUGGUUUUCUUGAGUGAAGUAGAGGUUGGCGGAAUUCCGAGUGUAGCGGUGAAAUGCGUAGAUAUUCGGAGGAACACCGGUGGCGAAGGCGGCCAACUGGGCUUUAACUGACGCUGAGGCUCGAAAGUGUGGGGAGCAAACAGG
rnacentral:rRNA from 1 species